rnacentral:lncRNA from 1 species
AGGGCGUGGGCGCGUGUGUGGGCAGGACUUGUGUGAGUUUUUUUUUUGCGGUGGCUCUUGUGUGUGUAAAUUAGGGCUGGUGGCUCCUUUGCCGAGCGCCCCUGAUCUGGCGCUCGGCAAAGGUGGCCUUUGCCAAGCGCCAGAUCGGCAACGCUAAGCAAAGGCUUUUUCGACUUUUUAAAAAAAUGAUUUUUUUUUUCUGUUUGUUUUUUUUGUUGGAAUGAAGUUGGCCAUUACACAAUUUUGCCGAGGGCUGUGGGGGUAUAAACCCCUAUACCCUUACGGCUGGACUUGGGCCAGGAGGCUUGGCCCAUUACGAGACGAGUUCAAAGCUUGAUCCGACAACCUGGAGUUCCGCGCAAGGAAACAAGAUGUGGAGAUCAAGCAGGAUUCUAGUCGGUUAGAAUAGGAAUUGAUAUCGAAUUAUCAAUGGCAACUGUAACCGACUAGGAUUAGUUUCUAGAUCUGUAACCCUGCCCUCCAGACUAUAUAAGGAGGGGCAAGGGACCCCCCUAGGACAGAUUAUCUCUCGACACAAUCCAAUACAACCAGACGCAGGACGUAGGUAUUACGCCAACUCGGCGGCCGAACCUGGAUAAAAAGCUUGUCCGUGUCUUGCGUCACCAUCG